UAAGAUGACUGUAGGUGAAAGCUUACAUCUCUUCGGAGCAUUUUACGAGGUGCUGCAUGGUGUCGUCAGCUCGUGCCGUGAGGUGUCGGGUUAAGUCCCAUAACGAGCGCAACCCUACCUUUAGUUGCCAUCAGGUAAUGCUGGGGACUCUAAAGGAACUGCCUACGCAAGUAGUGAGGAAGGCGGGGAUGACGUCAAAUCAGCACGGCCCUUACCGUCCAGGGCUACACACGUGCUACAAUGGCCGAUACAGAGGGCAGCUACCUGGUGACAGGAUGCAAAUCUCCAAAGUCGGUCUCAGUUCGGAUCGGAGUCUGCAACCCGACUCCGUGAAGUUGGAUUCGCUAGUAAUCGCGCAUCAGCCAUGGCGCGGUGAAUACGUUCCCGGGCCUU
rnacentral:rRNA from 1 species